UUGGGCAUGGAGUUUCCCUCAGAACUGUGUGGGGAGCAGUUCUGGCUGUUCUGGGUGCUUUUUAAAAAAGGAGUAAAAGUCUACCCACUCUCUGGGAAUCUGGGUCCCUAAGAGAAGCCUGAGAUGGAGACCACAUGUCAUGUGUUUGAUGAUCAGAAUGGUGCCACUGGCCUCUGGUUACUGGAGGAGCCCACCACAAGUCCUGGGAGAGAGAGCAUGAUCAGCCGAGCUCCUGUCAUUUGCUUGCUUCCUGGCUGGGAGAAGACGGAGCCCUUAAACUGCUGUCCCACUGAGACUGUAUACUGUGACAAGGACAGGCAUUCCAUACAAGGAUGUCAAGGUGAUAUUUGGAAGGGGGAAUGGAUCCUCGUAGGAAAAUAAAAGCAAACAAAUGAA